GAUGAACGCUGGCGGCGUGCCUAACACAUGCAAGUCGAACGGAGUCGUUUUGGAAAUCUCUUCGGAGAUGGAAUUCUCGACUUAGUGGCGGACGGGUGAGUAACGCGUGAGCAAUCUGCCUUUAAGAGGGGGAUAACAGUCGGAAACGGCUGCUAAUACCGCAUAAAGCAUUAAAUUCGCAUGUUUUUGAUGCCAAAGGAGCAAUCCGCUUUUAGAUGAGCUCGCGUCUGAUUAGCUAGUUGGCGGGGUAACGGCCCACCAAGGCGACGAUCAGUAGCCGGACUGAGAGGUGGAACGGCCACAUUGGGACUGAGACACGGCCCAGACUCCUACGGGAGGCAGCAGUGGGGAAUAGUGCGCAAUGGGGGAAACCCUGACGCAGCAACGCCGCGUGAUUGAAGAAGGCCUUCGGGGUGUAAAGAUCUUUAAUCAGGGACGAAACAAAUGACGGUACCUGAAGAAUAAGCUCCGGCUAACUACGUG
rnacentral:rRNA from 1 species